CCUACGGGUGGCAGCAGUGAGGAAUAUUGGUCAAUGGACGAGAGUCUGAACCAGCCAAGUCGCGUGAAGGAUGAAUGCCCUGUGGGUUGUAAACUUCUUUUAUCUGGGAAUAAAACAGGGUAUGCAUACCCUCUUGUAUGUACCAUAUGAAUAAGGAUCGGCUAACUCCGUGCCAGCAGCCGCGGUAAUACGGAGGAUCCGAGCGUUAUCCGGAUUUAUUGGGUUUAAAGGGUGCGUAGGUGGAUUGUUAAGUCAGUGGUGAAAGUGUGCGGCUCAACCGUAAAAUUGCAGUUGAAACUGGCAGUCUUGAGUACAGUAGAGGUGGGCGGAAUGCGUGGUGUAGCGGUGAAAUGCUUAGAUAUCGCGAAGAACUCCGAUUGCGAAGGCAGCACACUGGACUGCAACUGACGCUGAGGCUCGAAAGUGUGGGUAUCAAACAGGAUUAGAUACCCGUGUAGUC
rnacentral:rRNA from 1 species